rnacentral:ncRNA from 1 species
UCAGUUUGAUUCUAGCUGCUCUAUUGACUACUUCAACUCAACUACAUGUAAACUAUUAUAAAUCACAGUAGAAAAACCUGUAAAAUUUAAGGAAUUAAGACACGGGGAUUGAGGAAAAGACUGGCAAAAUUCGUGCCAGCCGCCGCGGUUACACGACGGGUCUAAGUCAAUAUUUAAGGCAAAGUGACAUAUAAUACAAGAUAAGCUAACCACAGUUAUGGGUCAAAUCUAUCCUGCCACAACCCGAAAAAUAUCAAAAAUAAAGACUCACGACAUCCCAGACUAAAACAAGGAUCAGAUACCCUUCUAUUCUAGGACGUAAAACCAAACCGGAUACUACAAACCCUGUUUAAAAUUCAAAGAACUUGGCGGUAUCUUAUACAGUCAGGGGAACCUGUCCCUUAAUUCGAUAAUCCACGAACGUCAUACCAUUCCUCGCUUAUCAGCUUGUGUACUGCCGUCGAAUGUAUACCUCAAAGAGAUAGUGUACAAUAAUGAUUACCAUUGACGUCAGGUCAUAGUGCAGCCAAUGAAAUGGGGGAGAUGGGUUACAACUUUAACAAAAGCCAAAAAUCUAUAAAAAUAGAUAAAAAAGAUGGACUUGAAAGUAAUAAUUAACACCUAAUAAUUAUGAAUAGGAAUCUAAGAUAUGCACACAUCGCCCGUCGCUCUCGUCGAAAGAUGAGAUAAGUCGUAACAAAGUAGGCUUAACGGAAGUUGAGCCUGUAAAGCACAUAGUAUAGUUAUUACAACUCAUAACAUUGGGAAGACGCCUCUGGGCU